AGAGUUUGAUCAUGGCUCAGAGCGAACGCUGGCGGCAGGCUUAACACAUGCAAGUCGAACGGGCGUAGCAAUACGUCAGUGGCAGACGGGUGAGUAACACGUGGGAACGUACCUUUUGGUUCGGAACAACUGAGGGAAACUUCAGCUAAUACCGGAUAAGCCCUUACGGGGAAAGAUUUAUCGCCGAAAGAUCGGCCCGCGUCUGAUUAGCUAGUUGGUGGGGUAAGAGCCCACCAAGGCGACGAUCAGUAGCUGGUCUGAGAGGAUGAUCAGCCACAUUGGGACUGAGACACGGCCCAAACUCCUACGGGAGGCAGCAGUGGGGAAUAUUGGACAAUGGGCGAAAGCCUGAUCCAGCCAUGCCGCGUGAGUGAUGAAGGCCCUAGGGUUGUAAAGCUCUUUUAACGGGGAAGAUAAUGACGGUACCCGUAGAAUAAGCCCCGGCUAACUUCGUG
rnacentral:rRNA from 1 species